rnacentral:piRNA from 1 species
UGCCUAUGAAUAUGGGAAUGUGACCCGCGA